rnacentral:rRNA from 1 species
UACGAAGGGGGCUAGCGUUGUUCGGAUUUACUGGGCGUAAAGCGCGCGUAGGCGGACGUUAAGUCAGGGGUGAAAUCCCAGGGCUCAACCCUGGAACGGCCUUUGAUACUGGACGUCUGGAGAUCGGGAGAGGUUGGUGGAAUUCCGAGUGUAGAGGUGAAAUUCGUAAAUAUUCGGAGGAACACCAGAAGCGAAGGCGGCCAACUGGCCCGAUACUGACGCUGAGGCGCGAAAGCGUGGGGAGCAAACAGG